AGAGCGAACGCUGGCGGCAUGCUUAACACAUGCAAGUCGCACGGGCAGGGGUAACUCUGUCAGUGGCGGACGGGUGAGUAACGCGUAGGUAUCUAUCCUUGGGUGGGGGACAACUGUGGGAAACUACAGCUAAUACCGCAUGAUAACUGAGGUUUAAAGGCGCAAGUCGCCUGGGGAGGAGCCUGCGUACGAUUAGCUAGUUGGUGGGGUAAAGGCCUACCAAGGCGACGAUCGUUAGCUGGUCUGAGAGGAUGAUCAGCCACAUUGGGACUGAGACACGGCCCAAACUCCUACGGGAGGCAGCAGUGGGGAAUAUUGGACAAUGGGCGCAAGCCUGAUCCAGCAAUGCCGCGUGUGUGAAGAAGGUCCUCGGAUUGUAAAGCACUUUCGACGGGGACGAUGAUGACGGUACCCGUAGAAGAACGCCCGGCUAACUUCGUGCCAGCAGCCGC
rnacentral:rRNA from 1 species